AUUGAACGCUGGCGACAGGCUUAACACAUGCAAGUCGAGCGGAGAGAGGUAGCUUGCUACUGAUCUUAGCGGCGGACGGGUGAGUAAUGCUUAGGAAUCUGCCUAUUAGUGGGGGACAACAUUUCGAAAGGAAUGCUAAUACCGCAUACGUCCUACGGGAGAAAGCAGGGGAUCUUCGGACCUUGCGCUAAUAGAUGAGCCCAAGUCGGAUUAGCUAGUUGGUGGGGUAAAGGCCUACCAAGGCGACGAUCUGUAGCGGGUCUGAGAGGAUGAUCCGCCACACUGGGACUGAGACACGGCCCAGACUCCUACGGGAGGCAGCAGUGGGGAAUAUUGGACAAUGGGCGGAAGCCUGAUCCAGCCAUGCCGCGUGUGUGAAGAAGGCCUUAUGGUUGUAAAGCACUUUAAGCGAGGAGGAGGCUACUUUAGUUAAUACCUAGAGAUAGUGGACGUUACUCGCAGAAUAAGCACCGGCUAACUCUGUGCCAGCCGCCGCGGUAACAC
rnacentral:rRNA from 1 species